rnacentral:hammerhead_ribozyme from 1 species
AUCCAGCAAGUGACGAGUCCCAAAUAGGACGAUACGCGCAUCCUGGAU